rnacentral:rRNA from 1 species
GAUGAACGCUGGCGGCGUGCCUAAUACAUGCAAGUCGAGCGAACAGACGAGGAGCUUGCUCCUCUGACGUUAGCGGCGGACGGGUGAGUAACACGUGGAUAACCUACCUAUAAGACUGGGAUAACUUCGGGAAACCGGAGCUAAUACCGGAUAACAUGUUGAACCGCAUGGUUCAACAGUGAAAGACGGUCUUGCUGUCACUUAUAGAUGGAUCCGCGCCGCAUUAGCUAGUUGGUAAGGUAACGGCUUACCAAGGCAACGAUGCGUAGCCGACCUGAGAGGGUGAUCGGCCACACUGGAACUGAGACACGGUCCAGACUCCUACGGGAGGCAGCAGUAGGGAAUCUUCCGCAAUGGGCGAAAGCCUGACGGAGCAACGCCGCGUGAGUGAUGAAGGUCUUCGGAUCGUAAAACUCUGUUAUUAGGGAAGAACAAAUGUGUAAGUAACUGUGCACGUCUUGACGGUACCUAAUCAGAAAGCCACGGCUAACUACGUG